UGGCACUCCGUGCUUGCCUAGCGACAUACUCACAACCACAUAGAUAAGGGGGAGUUGUGCAGACAGCUUUUCAGGGUUAAGCAAUUGACUAUCAAUCAAUAAUCUUUUAUGAAAGAAGAGAUGGUGCAGCACACGCAUGCCCAAUAUUAAGAGAGAGAAGACAUUUAUUGAGGCAAGCAGCUGGAGUGGACCUGCCCCCAUCACCAGGCCAGCUUCCCACCUGCACGUGCAGCUCUUUCUUCUUUUGCAGGAGGCUGGCUCUGCUCAUUAGACAUGCAACAAAGAGCUGGCCUGUGGAGCACACAUCCAUAUUCAUAACUCAAGUCAGCUGGAAAGUUGUACAUUUUUCUUUCUGGGAAGUCAUGGCGACAAAGACUGAAGACCCAGGCAGCACAAAUGUGAAUGAUGGAUCUCUUGGAAGAACAACAAAGACUGAAGUGAGUAUAUUUUAUGCUUGGAAAUGAGCAAAUCAUUCCUUUUGACAAGCCAUUGAUGUUGGGGGUGAGUAUCUGUCUAUCAGGAAUUGAGCUAGAUUUGAGAUUUUUUUCUUGUUAUUGUUACUCUUGGUACUCCAGAAGCUUUAAAUACUUUUAAUAUUCCCUGUUAUAACAGCUGCUCUGCCAAAGAGGUUUUGUCCACAUCUGCUCAACUCUUAGCUUUAUGCUUUCCAUUUGCUCAAUGUCUCAGAGAUUAUCUUAACUCUGUUGCUUGUCUUUCAACAGCGAAAAGCUAUUACUGGCUACUUGAUAUUGGUUGGCCUGUUGUUGGAGGAUGAAGUCUGUUCUUGUAAUCUGAUUAAGCCUCAGUUUUAGGCAGACACUAAUCUCAAACUCCCUGGAGAAAAGCCUUCUAAGUAAUCCUGCCCCAUCUUCGCCUGGAGUGCUAAGCUAAGCAUGAAUUCCUAAUCAUCCUCUAAGAUUAGACAACUUUUUUUUUUUCUCCAAUUGAAGAGGGUUUUUACUCAGACCCACUCAGUGGGUGACAGUGUUUGCAGCAUUUUCCCCAGAUCUUUAAGGUUGUGUUUCAUAAGAAAAAGAGCCACUCUUGGAUUUGUGACUUUCCCACAGUGGCUGCGAUUUCCCCCCGCUGGACCUGAACUGCCAGGAAUGAUUACUCAAGACUUUUGUCAGUCUUUAUUGUGAAGACAAUACCUGGUGAGGUCUGUGAAGAAGAGUCUGUUGAAGCAUUUAAAUUUCUCUUGUCUCAGCCCCUAGAGGUUUUAUAGUCUCUUUUUUGCUGACACUAUGCCAUUACCACUUGUUAUACAUUUUAUCUGAAUUCUUCUUAUGGGUGUCUGGUGGUCCUUGCCCAGGUAAGCAGGUGCUUAUGCACCGUUUCUACUGGGUGGUGACUGACUUGUCUUAGAUUUUCUGUUCAAGAAAAUGUAGAAAUUUUCAUAUUAUGCAGAAUAGGUUCUGGGAUCGAAGUGAUGAAGUUUUAAUUUUCUAUCCUCUAAAUAGAAGGUAGAAAUUACACUUUUACUUUUAGAAACAGGUAUGAUUUGUUUGUUUGAAUUGAUAUGUGUAGAGCACUGAUAUUUACUGUAUUAUAUGAUUUGG